CUGCGGAGGUCCACAGUGCGAACUGCUGAUCCCGUGGCCACCUGCGGGGACCCAUAGUACAUCCGCCUCGGAUCCAGGUGAAAAACUCGACGAAGUUUGUGGAAACAAUGACGGAGUAAACGAGCUGGAACCUUUUUAACGGCGGGUGACACCCACUCACACAGGUGCAUUACUGCUACCUUCUGCUCAGGAGUGUGGAACAUAUUUUUGUAGUCCAUUUAUCAACCCCGUCACUCUAAUAAAAUCAAUUAAGACUUAACUAUUCAUUUCACCUGCCCAUUUAUUAAAACAUUAAAA